rfam:Salmo salar isolate Sally breed double haploid chromosome ssa10, whole genome shotgun sequence.
UGCAUUCACUACCAUAAGUCGCUCUGGAUAAGAGCGUCUGCUAAAUGACUAAAA